rnacentral:rRNA from 1 species
AGAACGAACGCUGGCGGCAGGCUUAACACAUGCAAGUCGAACGCGUGUAGCAAUACACGAGUGGCGCACGGGUGAGUAACGCGUGGAUAUCUGCCUUUUGGUUCGGAAUAACCCCGGGAAACUGGGGCUAAUACCGGAUAGUUCCUACGGGAUAAAGAUUUAUCGCCAAAAGAUGAGUCCGCGUACGAUUAGCUAGUUGGUGAGGUAAUGGCUCACCAAGGCGACGAUCGUUAGCUGGUCUGAGAGGACGAUCAGCCACACUGGGACUGAGACACGGCCCAGACUCCUACGGGAGGCAGCAGUGGGGAAUAUUGGACAAUGGGGGCAACCCUGAUCCAGCCAUGCCGCGUGAGUGAUGAAGGCCUUCGGGUUGUAAAGCUCUUUUGGCGGGGACGAUGAUGACGGUACCCGCAGAAUAACGCCCCGGCUAACUUCGUGCCAGCAGCCGC